UGCCAACUUUACCGAACUCCUUCUAGAGCACAUCAGCGGGUUGAGACACGCUGAGGGGUGCGGCAUCAGGUUAAACAUGCAGAUUUUUACGACUCAAGUCAAAUAAUUUGUUUCUUGUUGGAGGCAGGAAGGACGUUAAAGCAACAGUUGUCCAAAAUCCAAGUGGAACAAAUGCAGCUCAGUGUGCAUUGAGACUGAAAGAAUCCAUCAGCCCCAGUGAGGAAACUGAUCUGUGAGACUGACUGAAGGUAACUCAGGCUUCUCCGGGAGAUGGGAGUACAUGGGAAGGCCCACCGGCAGGCGAUCAAGGACCUGUCCAGAGCUGCUGAAAAGGGAAGUCAGUAGCUGUAGAUGAAGAGAAAGGACUCCACCUGAGCCUUCAGGAUCAGCUGUCUGACGGGAACCACGUGAUCUAAAUGUACCAGAGGCUUUACUGAGGAGGACGCCCGUCCAGUCUUAUCCACCACACCCCACUCAGGAAGGGGAUUUUAGACCUUAACAGAGGGGAAGCAGGGUUUUUUUCUCAGUUUUGGUGCUUUUAUUUUCAUUUUUGACUUUAUGGUGUUUCAUAUAAACAGGAAAAUGCUGCAUGACUGUUGACACAAAAUCCACAUCUGUACCUACUUAUGGAGAGAAUUCGACAGAUUUAAUGUUGUGCAGAUUAACCCUGCUGUUAGGUUUGUUUCUCAGGAACACCAGUGAUGUUCAAAAUGGGGCAUGUUUAAUUAUCCAGAAGUGUCAGAAAGCAAAAAAUCACAAUAAACAUUGUUUAUAACUCA